AAACGCUUACAAAGAUUGUGCUUACUUUUUAAAGUAUAUUUGCUCCUCAACACUAAACCUAAAACCUUAAACCCUAAACAUAAAUCCUACACCCUAAACUAAAAAUCCAAAACCCUAAAACCUAAACCUAAAACCCUAAACCCUUAACCUUAAACCCUAAACUCUUAACCCUAAACCCUUAAACCUAAACCCAAAACCAUAGUCCCCAAACUUUAUAACCAAAAUCCUACUUUAGCUUCUGGAAGCCGGUUGCGGUUCUAGUUCUUAUGCUCAACAAUACACAAAGCAUCUAGUCAUAUUUGGCUAUAAAUCCGCUAACCAAGCCACUUCUUGAUUCUCAAAGCUUUGAUGGUAAAGUCAAAGAUCUUAUGAGUUUUUGGUCUUGAAUCGUAUAAC
rnacentral:sRNA from 1 species